rnacentral:rRNA from 1 species
GACGAACGCUGGCGGCGUGCCUAACACAUGCAAGUCGAGCGGAGACGGAUGGUAGCUUGCUACUGGCCGUUUUUAGCGGCGGACGGGUGAGUAACGCGUGAGCAACCUCUCCUUUACUGGGGAAUAACACACCGAAAGGUGUACUAAUACCGCAUGAGACCACAGAGGGGCAUCCCUUAGGGGUCAAAGAUUAAUCGGUAAAGGGUGGGCUCGCGUCUGAUUAGAUAGUUGGUGGGGUAACGCCUACCAAGUCGACGAUCAGUAGCCGACCUGAGAGGGUGAUCGGCCACAUUGGGACUGAGACACGGCCCAAACUCCUACGGGAGGCAGCAGUGGGGAAUAUUGGGCAAUGGGCGAAAGCCUGACCCAGCAACGCCGCGUGGA